CGAGGACGAACGCUGGCGGCGUGCCUAAUACAUGCAAGUCGAACGGUCUUUCUAUGGAAGCUUGCUUCCACUGAGAAGAUAGUGGCGAACGGGUGAGUAACACGUGGGUAACCUGCCCAUAAGAGGGGGGAUAACAUCCGGAAACGGGUGCUAAUACCGCAUAGUUUUCUUGGUCGCAUGAUCGGGAAAGGAAAGACGGCCUUUGUGCUGUCGCUUAUGGAUGGACCCGCGGCGUAUUAGUUAGUUGGUGAGGUAACGGCUCACCAAGACGAUGAUACGUAGCCGACCUGAGAGGGUGAUCGGCCACAUUGGGACUGAGACACGGCCCAAACUCCUACGGGAGGCAGCAGUAGGGAAUCUUCCGCAAUGGACGAAAGUCUGACGGAGCAACGCCGCGUGAGUGAAAGAAGGUUUUCGGAUCGUAAAACUCUGUUGUCAGAGAAGAACAAGUUGGAGAGUAACUGCUCCAGCCUUGACGGUAUCUGACCAGAAAGCCACGGCUAACUACGUGCCAGCCGCCGC
rnacentral:rRNA from 1 species